UGGGGAAUAUUGGACAAUGGACCAAGAGUCUGAUCCAGCAAUUCUGUGUGCACGAUGAAGUUUUUCGGAAUGUAAAGUGCUUUCAGUUGGGAAGAAAAAAAUGACGGUACCAACAGAAGAAGUGACGGCUAAAUACGUGCCAGCAGCCGCGGUAAUACGUAUGUCACGAGCGUUAUCCGGAUUUAUUGGGCAUAAAGCGCGUCUAGGUGGUUAUAUAAGUCUGAUGUGAAAAUGCAGGGCUCAACUCUGUAUUGCGUUGGAAACUGUAUAACUAGAGUACUGGAGAGGUAAGCGGAACUACAAGUGUAGAGGUGAAAUUCGUAGAUAUUUGUAGGAAUGCCGAUGGGGAAGCCAGCUUACUGGACAGAUACUGACGCUGAAGCGCGAAAGCGUGGGUAGCAAACAGGAUUAGAUACCCUGGUAGUCCACGCCGUAACGAUGAUUACUAGGUGUUGGGGGUCAAACCUCAGCGCCCAAGCAAAUGCGAUAAGUAAUCCGCCUGGGGAGUACGUACGCAAGUAU
rnacentral:rRNA from 1 species